AGAGUUUGAUCCUGGCUCAGGAUGAACGCUAGCUACAGGCUUAACACAUGCAAGUCGAGGGGCAGCGGGAAGGAAGCUUGCUUUCUUCGCCGGCGACCGGCGCACGGGUGAGUAACGCGUAUCGAACCUGCCUCAUACUCGGGGAUAACCUUGCGAAAGUAAGACUAAUACCCGAUGUUUUCAUCUCCUCGCAUGAAGAGUUGAACAAAGUUUUUCGGUAUGAGAUGGCGAUGCGUCCCAUUAGCUUGUUGGCGGGGUAACGGCCCACCAAGGCAUCGAUGGGUAGGGGUUCUGAGAGGAAGGUCCCCCACAUUGGAACUGAGACACGGUCCAAACUCCUACGGGAGGCAGCAGUGAGGAAUAUUGGUCAAUGGACGGAAGUCUGAACCAGCCAAGUAGCGUGCAGGAUGACGGCCCUCUGGGUUGUAAACUGCUUUUAGUUGGGAAUAAAGUGCGGUACGUGUACCGUUUUGUAUGUACCAUCAGAAAAAGGACCGGCUAAUUCCGUGCCAGCAGCCGCGGUAAUACGGAAGGUCCAGGCGUUAUCCGGAUUUAUUGGGUUUAAAGGGAGCGCAGGCGGACUCUUAAGUCAGUUGUGAAAUACGGCGGCUCAACCGUCGGACUGCAGUUGAUACUGGGAGUCUUGAGUACACGCAGAGAUACUGGAAUUCAUGGUGUAGCGGUGAAAUGCUCAGAUAUCAUGAGGAACUCCGAUCGCGAAGGCAGGUAUCUGGAGUGUAACUGACGCUGAGGCUCGAAAGUGCGGGUAUCAAACAGGAUUAGAUACCCUGGUAGUCCGCACAGUAAACGAUGAAUACUCGCGGUUGGCGAUAUACAGUCAGCCGCCAAGCGAAAGCGUUAAGUAUUCCACCUGGGGAGUACGCCGGCAACGGUGAAACUCAAAGGAAUUGACGGGGGCCCGCACAAGCGGAGGAACAUGUGGUUUAAUUCGAUGAUACGCGAGGAACCUUACCCGGGCUUGAACUGCCAGUGACGCAUGCAGAGACGCAUGUUUCUUCGGACACUGGCGGAGGUGCUGCAUGGUUGUCGUCAGCUCGUGCCGUGAGGUGUCGGCUUAAGUGCC
rnacentral:rRNA from 1 species